rnacentral:tRNA from 1 species
GCGCCUGUAGCUCAGGGGAUAGAGCAACGGACUUCUAAUCCGUUGGUCGCACGUUCGAUUCGUGCCAGGCGCGCCA